rnacentral:tRNA from 1 species
GGUCGAUUGGUGAAACGGUUUAACACAUUGCCCUCUCAAGGCAACAUUCACGGGUUCGAAUCCCGUAUCGAUCACCA